CCCUUAGACGUUCUGGGCCGCACGCGCGCUACACUGACACAGGCAACAAGCUUUCCUUUACCGAAAGGUAUGGGUAAUCUUUUGAAACUGUGUCGUGCUGGGGAUAGAUCCUUGCAAUUUUUGAUCUUAAACGAGGAAUUCCUAGUAAGCGCGAGUCAUCAACUCGCGUUGAUUACGUCCCUGCCCUUUGUACACACCGCCCGUCGCUACUACCGAUUGAAUGGCUUAGUGAGGCCUCAGGAUCCGCGCUUAAUGUGUGGAGAAUUUGGACAAACUACGUCAUUUAGAGGAAGUAAAAGUCGUAACA
rnacentral:rRNA from 1 species